AACGAACGCUGGCGGCAUGCCUAACACAUGCAAGUCGAACGGAUACCUUCGGGUGCUAGUGGCGCACGGGUGCGUAACGCGUGGGAAUCUGCCCUUGGGUUCGGAAUAACUCAGCGAAAGCUGUGCUAAUACCGGAUGAUGUCGAAAGACCAAAGAUUUAUCGCCCGAGGAUGAGCGAGCGUUGGAUUAGCUAGCUGGUGGGUUAAAGGCAUACCAAGGCGACGAUCCAUAGCUGGUCUGAGAGGAUGAUCAGCCACACUGGCACUGAGACACGGCACAGACUCCUACGGGAGGCAGCAGUGGGGAAUAUUGGACAAUGGGGGGAAGCCUGAUCCAGCAAUGCCGGGUGAGUGCUGAAGGCCUUAGGGUUGUAAAGCUCUUUUAACCGGGAUGAUAAUGACAGUACCGGGAGAAUAAGCCCCGGCUAACUCCGUG
rnacentral:rRNA from 1 species